rnacentral:rRNA from 1 species
UACGUAGGGGGCUAGCGUUGUCCGGAAUCAUUGGGCGUAAAGCGCGUGUAGGCGGUCCGGUAAGUCUGCUGUGAAAGUCGGGGGCUCAACCCUCGAAUGCCGGUGGAUACUGUCGGGCUAGAGUGCGGAAGAGGCGAGUGGAAUUCCUGGUGUAGCGGUGAAAUGCGCAGAUAUCAGGAGGAACACCAGUGGCGAAGGCGGUGGUCUGGGCCGGAACUGACGCUGAGGAGCGAAAGCGUGGGUAGCAAACAGG